GGUUUCGUAGUGUAGUGGUUAUCACGUUCGCCUCACACGCGAAAGGUCCUGGGUUCGACCCCCAGCGAAACCA